UGGGGAAUAUUGGACAAUGGGCGAAAGCCUGAUCCAGCCAUGCCGCGUGUGUGAAGAAGGUCUUCGGAUUGUAAAGCACUUUAAGUUGGGAGGAAGGGCAGUAACCUAAUACGUUGCUGUCUUGACGUUACCGACAGAAUAAGCACCGGCUAACUCUGUGCCAGCAGCCGCGGUAAUACAGAGGGUGCAAGCGUUAAUCGGAAUUACUGGGCGUAAAGCGCGCGUAGGUGGUUUGUUAAGUUGGAUGUGAAAUCCCCGGGCUCAACCUGGGAACUGCAUUCAAAACUGACUGACUAGAGUAUGGUAGAGGGUGGUGGAAUUUCCUGUGUAGCGGUGAAAUGCGUAGAUAUAGGAAGGAACACCAGUGGCGAAGGCGACCACCUGGACUGAUACUGACACUGAGGUGCGAAAGCGUGGGGAGCAAACAGGAUUAGAUACCCAUGUAGUCCCUGAGCGGGCUGGCAAGGCGCAU
rnacentral:rRNA from 1 species